rnacentral:lncRNA from 1 species
GAUACCCUCAACCAGUGCUACUCAGCAGGGAAGAAAUGGAGCCGUGGGGAGCCAGCACUUUUCUCUUCUGCCUCUUCCUUGCACUGCCUCAGGAUGGGGAUAAAGUCUGGGUUGUUGUUUCAGUUCGGAGCCCUGGCCUAAGUGGCCACAGCUGCACCAGGUACUGUAGCAAAAUUCAUAAAGAUUCUUAGCAGAGAGCUAACAAGACUUCAGAAAUAUAGAAAACAUAGAAAAAGCUUUGAGUGAGGAGAUCAGAAUGUAAUUAGGAUUUUCUUCCUGAGCAAACUUCAACUUAAGAGAGGGAGCCCAAGGUCUUGAAAGCCCACCUGAGCAGAUGACACCAGCAUCUUCAUGAUGGCCACAGUUGUGGGAGAGCCAGCCAUUGUGGGGGCAGCUCCACAGAUAGGACUCAUGUCCUGAGCAGCGCACAUCAUCCAGGACAAUGGGUCCUGAACCCUGGCCAAACCGGGCAUUUCCUGGGGCUGACGUGGCCCAGCCACA